GAUGAACGCUGGCGGCGUGCCUAAUACAUGCAAGUCGAGCGAACGGACGAGAAGCUUGCUUCUCUGAUGUUAGCGGCGGACGGGUGAGUAACACGUGGAUAACCUACCUAUAAGACUGGGAUAACUUCGGGAAACCGGAGCUAAUACCGGAUAAUAUUUUGAACCGCAUGGUUCAAAAGUGAAAGACGGUCUUGCUGUCACUUAUAGAUGGAUCCGCGCUGCAUUAGCUAGUUGGUAAGGUAACGGCUUACCAAGGCAACGAUGCAUAGCCGACCUGAGAGGGUGAUCGGCCACGCUGGAACUGAGACCCGGUCCAGACUCCUACGGGAGGCAGCAGUAGGGAAUCUUCCGCAAUGGGCGAAAGCCUGACGGAGCAACGCCGCGUGAGUGAUGAAGGUCUUCGGAUCGUAAAACUCUGUUAUUAGGGAAGAACAUAUGUGUAAGUAACUGUGCACAUCUUGACGGUACCUAAUCAGAAAGCCACGGCUAACUACGUG
rnacentral:rRNA from 1 species